CCUUAGUAUCCUGAAUACGGGGACUAUGAUUCGGACCUGAAACUGAGGACUUUUUAUAACACUCUAACUGAACACUUACAAAGAUUACAAAUCAUCUGGGGUGUUAUUAGGAAACAUUCAGGAUGAAGACAAAAGAACUGAGAAUCGUGUUCAUACUGAGUAUCAUUCUGAGAUCUGUAACUGGACAAAGCACAAAUGACCCAUCUACAACAACACCUACAAACACUACAGCUACUACACAAGCAAAUGCUACUACAAGUAAUGUAACAGUUUCGAC